UCAGUUUCCAGCCUCCUGCCCAUCACAGUGCUUACCCCCAAAGAAUGGCAAGUAACUGUAUGUUGGCUUGGCUUCUUCUACUCUCUAGUAAGAUCUCUUGAAGGAGGUACUAUGUCUGGUUCAUUCUUGCAUUCCCCAUACUGAAAAGCCAUCCAUGUAAAUGAAUAUACAUGUGAAGGAGGACGACACAGUUUACCUAGCAAAUGUGGUCUAUCUAUGGCAAUGGAUGUGUGCAUGAAUGUGGACAACAGAGGGUAUUUUGGGACAGAUGAGGUAAAGUAUGCAGUGGGAGACUGUGAUGACCCAUUGGAGUAUUUAGCAUUUACACUCUCCCUGACGGGUCUGUUUUGUUGUUGUUGUUGUUGUUGUUGUACUGUCUUUCUUGAGAUUGGAUAGAGAGGGAUAAAGGGACAGCUCUUGAGCUACUAGCAUAUAAACUUGUUCUUCUUUAAGGAAUGUUCUAUGUCUCAGUAAAGUGGGCCGAGAGCCUACCUGUCCAAUUAUUUCAUCAUUAAUAAGGAGUACCUACAUCUUCUGAUAUGCAUUUCCAAUUGUCCCCUAGCCUUUGAAAGAGCAGGGGACUUUGGAAGGCUUUGUACCAGUGCCAAAAGUCAACCGGGAAAACUGAAACUUGAUCCAUUAACUAAAAUCAAUGAACAUCGUGUGUGCGAAGGCACUCGAUACUGUACCUCCUCUAACAUUUCUGAACACUUUACUCCAGGAGCUUUCAAGGAGAUAAAAAUCCUUGGUGGACUAGGAGAGGAUGCCAUAGCUGAAUGACAAUGUGUAGCUAUAAACACGUGAGAAGAGAAAUGGGAGGGAAUGGGGAGGUUUAACUAGAUAACCAGAGGCAGGAGAGAUUUCACCCACAACUGAAGGCAGACUCACUGUGUCAGGUUCCUUUGCAGCUAGGAGUUGAAAGUUGGCCUGGCUAUGAGUAUAGAAGGAGACCAAGAUAGCCAGGUGCCAUGGCACUCUCUUCUUCUCCUGACUUUGAACAAGGAAAGCCACUUAAGAUAUGCUAUGUGGAUGCUCUUUCUCUAUUCCUUUAUUAAAGGUGGAAAAAGCCUAUCUUAAUGAACCACUCACCUGCUCUCUCAGAAGAACCUAUCAGUUUGGGGUAUAAUGGGAGGAGUUUAGGAUAGAACCAAAGCUGUAUGUGUAUGUCAAACUGUGACAUCUUUGAAGAAAUGGGCCAGGAUCUUGGCGUCUGUUCAUGAGUGUUGGCUGACCCUCUCUCCCUCCCACUUUCACUUCCACAUUCCGCUAUCAUGCUUCUGUUAUCAAUUCCCAAGACAUGCAGCAAAUUCUAUCAGAAAUUUUCAGAAAUCCCAGAUAAAGUCUCACUAGAUCCUCCCCAAGCUCAAGCCUUCCUUUUGUAUAGGAUUAAUAUACCCCAGAGCUUGUCUCCUUCCUACAGAUCCCGCAGGCUUCUCACUGUCUUGAACGAUACAGCUGCUGUAUUCUCUGGAGAAGCAGUGUCUGCUCUGCACGCAGGCAGCUUGUUUCGACCAGAUAUUCACUGUGAGUCCCUCAGUGAACCAGUUCCAUGAGGUUUCUGCCUCUAAGGGAAUGGGCGAGCAUGGAAAUGAGGCCUUGAGCACAGAGCGGGCAUCGCAGACAGGUGCUAACAACUCUGCUGGUCUCUUUAGAGAGCAGUAUUUGUAUUUGGCUGUUUUCCCUUCUUUCUUUUUUGUCUUCCUCUCUUGCUAGAGUUGUAAGAGGAAGAUUAUCCACUCAAACAGCCAUCCAACGCCCUCUUAGGAGGCUGGGGAAUUCUCUGAAAGGUCUUGGUAAGGAGGCGAGCCAACAUCAUAUCUGUCCCGCUGCUACCUGCUGCAUUGCUUCCUGAGGAUGGAGAGGCUCCAAUGCUUGUGUUGAACAGGGAGACGCCAUCCGGAUCUGCUCCCAGUUCUGAAAGUGGCUGGGGCGGAAAGGCAAAAGCCAGGACCAACUCUGCACUUCAACUCCUCAGAACCAAGUUUUGCCUCCUUGGAAACAGACUGCUUUUGACCUGAGGAGAAGAGAGCUGAGAAUGUUUUAAGGGAGUUCUCUGUAACAUACUUCAGACACACACGAGGCAUUGAAGUCAAAGACAGAGAUGUGGCUUCAUCCUACCAAGGGACCAGGAACAACUUAACCCAAUGAGAGUCUGCUGAAACAACCGAUGCUUUUUCCUUGUGGCAAUUUGAUCUGGAGUGGGUCUGUGAUACAUUACAAUGCUGGGAUCAAAUCAAGCUUUUCUGGAGCUCAUCCAAGCACAACACGAGGCUAUGGGAACCCUACUGCAUGGGGCCCCUCUGCUGCUGUUUAAUUGUGCUUACCUCAUGACCUAUAAUGGUUAUCUACAUAUAGUGCAAGAGAAAUGUAAGUGGACAACAGAGUUCAGUGGCCUCAAUGGGAGGGAACGGACCUGGGCUGAUCAAUGAGUUGACUCUGGCUUUCCCCUCAACAGCCUCUACACAUGCACACAUCCAGUUGUGAAUAGGGUCCCGGGCUCAGGAGGAUCUCUCCUGGACACUUUGCAGGGUGGCCUCUGCCAUUCAUGGCCAUAUCUAUUCAGCUAAUCCUUGAAGACAAUCCUGACUUUCUACCCAGGGGAGGCAGGGAGACCAGACCGAGUACUCUGUGAUGGCCUGGCAUAGCCCUUUGAAUGUUUUCGGAGACAUAGGCACUUGAUGCCAAUUCUUGGGGAACCACAGCGAAUGAGUGGACCUGUCUUCUCCUUUAAUGCCUUCCUGUUCCCAACUGACCUGUGCAAUUCCUGAUGGCUCAGAGCAAUGCCCAGAUCUGGGAGGAAAGGAAAACAAAACCCAAGCUCAAUCUAUCUCUGAUCUCAGAAGGAUUCUAGCUGGUUCUGAGAAAUAAGCUGGUUCUAAUUUUCACUAAACAAUGGUGUCUGGCCCUCAUUUAAAAAGGCAUUUUCAUCAAGGAUGUGCCUAUUGGUGCUUCAGCAACAGGGAAAUAUUCGGGAAUAAGGCUUAGGGGGUAAGAUUUAGAUUUAAGCUUUCUUCAAAAACCCUU